rnacentral:tRNA from 1 species
GCCGAGGUAGCUCAAUGGCAGAGCAACGGUUUUGUAAACCGUAGGUUGGGGGUUCAAAUCCUCUCCUCGGCU